rnacentral:rRNA from 1 species
GAUGAACGCUGGCGGCGUGCCUAAUACAUGCAAGUCGAGCGGUAAGGCCCCUUCGGGGGUACACGAGCGGCGGACGGCUGAGUAACGCGUAGGAACAUACCCCAAAGUGAGGGAUAAGCACCAGAAAUGGUGUCUAAUACCGCAUGUGAUCUUCGGAUUAAAGCUUUAUGCGCUUUGGGAAUGGCCUGCGUAAGAUUAGCUUGUUGGUGAGGUAAUGGCUCACCAAGGCGACGAUCUUUAGCUGGUCUGAGAGGAUGAUCAGCCAGACUGGGACUGAGACACGGCCCAGACUCCUACGGGAGGCAGCAGUAGGGAAUUUUCCACAAUGGGCGAAAGCCUGAUGGAGCAACGCCGCGUGCAGGAUGAAUGCCUUAGGGUUGUAAACUGCUUUUAUAUGUGACGAAUAUGACGGUAGCAUAUGAGUAAGGAUCGGCUAACUCCGUGCCAGCAGCCGCCGUAAU